GACGAACGCUGGCGGCGUGCCUAAUACAUGCAAGUUGAGCGCUGAAGGUUGGUACUUGUACCAACUGGAUGAGCAGCGAACGGGUGAGUAACGCGUGGGGAAUCUGCCUUUGAGCGGGGGACAACAUUUGGAAACGAAUGCUAAUACCGCAUAAAAGCUUUAAACACAAGUUUUAAGUUUGAAAGAUGCAAUUGCAUCACUCAAAGAUGAUCCCGCGUUGUAUUAGCUAGUUGGUGAGGUAAAGGCUCACCAAGGCGAUGAUACAUAGCCGACCUGAGAGGGUGAGCGGCCGCAUUGGGACUGAGACACGGCCCAAACGCCUACGGGAGGCAGCAGUAGGGAAUCUUCGGCAAUGGACGAAAGUCUGACCGAGCAACGCCGCGGGAGUGAAGAAGGUUUUCGGAUCGUAAAACUCUGUUGGUAGAGAAGAACGUUGGUGAGAGUGGAAAGCUCAUCAAGUGACGGUAACUACCCAGAAAGGGACGGCUAACUACGUG
rnacentral:rRNA from 1 species